rnacentral:lncRNA from 1 species
GCAGAAAUGAAGGGAGAUCUUAUUUUACACCUCGAUCCACAGCCUUUGCCAGCUCUCUCCGAGGCAUCUCAGGAUGAUGAACUAGAACUUUCCCAGGAACCAGAACCUGUGUGUGAAUUGUCUCUAAAGUUGGCAAAUGAGAUAGGAAAUAAUGAGCCAAGCGGUAGUGAAGUGGAGACAACGUGCCAGCCUUCAGCAAAACUAGCUCUAAAAAAGUUGCUAAACAAGAUACGGAACCAAAAAGACAAUUGGACAUCAAGAUGUGAGUCGGAGGUUCAAAGUGACCUUGGGACAAUUGAGUCAGGGACCAUUUCUAAUGGAGGAGGAAAAGUGGAUGGAUUAGCAUCUGUGCCUGAACCUGAAUCCAAUCAGGAUCCUGGUGUUGAACCUUCUGAAGAGCUUCCAGAAAUACUGGACCAUACCAUUGUUGCUGGAAACGAACUUAUAGAACAAGUCCAAGACCAAACCACUAAAAUUAGAAAGGAGUUAGAAAGAUUC